rnacentral:rRNA from 1 species
GACGAACGCUGGCGGCGUGCCUAAUACAUGCAAGUAGAACGCUGAAGGAGGAGCUUGCUUCUCUGGAUGAGUUGCGAACGGGUGAGUAACGCGUAGGUAACCUGCCUGGUAGCGGGGGAUAACUAUUGGAAACGAUAGCUAAUACCGCAUAAGAGUAGAUGUCGCAUGACAUUUGCUUAAAAGGUGCAAUUGCAUCACUACCAGAUGGACCUGCGUUGUAUUAGCUAGUUGGUGAGGUAACGGCUCACCAAGGCAACGAUACAUAGCCGACCUGAGAGGGUGAUCGGCCACACUGGGACUGAGACACGGCCCAGACUCCUACGGGAGGCAGCAGUAGGGGAUCUUCGGCAAUGGACGGAAGUCUGACCGAGCAACGCCGCGUGAGUGAAGAAGGUUUUCGGAUCGUAAAGCUCUGUUGUAAGAGAAGAACGAGUGUGAGAGUGGAAAGUUCACACUGUGACGGUAUCUUACCAGAAAGGGACGGCUAACUACGUG